rnacentral:lncRNA from 1 species
AUUCUGUCAAUAUCAGUCAUAUUUAAAGACCAAGUAGAGGGAGUGUUUAUGAUCAAACCUCCAAACAUUUCAUAUCUCUAAAAAGCCCUGAAUGUGCUCCGUACAGGACAUCCAGACUUAAAACUGUGGCAUUUAAGGUCUCAGAGAAAUUCACUAAAAUAUAAUGUCCUCUUCAGAGCACAAAAGUCUAUGCCUGGGUCCCAGGAGGAUAAUGUUACAGGCUACAGCUUCUUUUUAAGUCUCUAGAUAGAAACUAAAGAGAAGCCGGCACAAAAUGGACAGGAAACAUUCGUUGCUAUUUAUCAAAGACUUUAGAUUACUGGAAUCUGGCGUUCUCUAGUGGACAUUAAAAACAACUCUGACUGACAGGAUGCAAUAUUUGGGCACCUCGAGGGGGCGCUUGGCUGUCAAACAGAAUAUUAGACUCGCAUUCAAAUCUAAGGAUUUUUGGUGACUGAACUCUACAUUCUAUAAAAUGUAUUAAUAGCAAUUAUUGUUAAAUGACAUGCAAAUAAAUAUUUAUGAAAUGUUUAAAAAAAAAUCCACUCAUCUAAUCACAAACAGCUGCGACUGGUGACAGAUGCCAAGUGACCGUGCUUUUAUUUACUACUUAAUCAUAGGCCUGAACAAUAUUUUUUCUGAAUAAUUGAAUAAUUUUUAGUGGUAUUUGAAUUCAUUUGAAUUAAUAGAAUUUUAAUUAAUUAAAUAAAAAAUGUCAGCAAGAGGAAGUAUUUAAUCCCGCCCAUAUUAAGUCGCUCGUUCUGAUUGGUCAUGGUCACUUUUCUAUCAAGGAAGUGACAACACGAGCAACAUAGAUCCUGUAAAAUGGAACCGGAAUGCGUCACUGGCCUAUGCUGUUGGUAUUUGGACCCUGCGUGGCUACGCAUAUUACAAAUACACGCUGGGAAGCGACAAAGUUGAAAAGGUCGACUAAAGGAUAUAUGAAACAAAACACACUCGAACCACAAUUAUCUAUAAGGAGGAUUCUGUGCCAUACACCACAAUGCUUUUAAACUUCUUCAAAGCUACAUCUGGGAGUUCCCAAGAGAGUGAAAAACAAGAAGAAGAGAAAUGAGUUGACUGCUUGUUUGUUUGUUUGUUUGUUUUUCUGACAAAAAGAUUAACUGUCAUAUUUUAAAGGGGUCAUAUGAUGCGAUUUCAAUUUUUCCUUUCUCUUUGGAGUGUUACAAGCUCUUGGUGCAUAAAGAAGAUCUGUAAAGUUGCAAAGACUAAAGUCUCAAAUCCAAAGAGAUAUUCUUUAUAAAAGUUAAGAGUCAACCACGCCUACCUAAAACGCCUCGUUCUAACACGCCCUCACAUGUCUACAUCACUAUGUGGGAAGAUUUGCAUAACGCCGCCCAAAUGUUCACGCAAAGAAAGAAGGUGUAACUUUUAUUCUCGCUGUUGUAUUGUUGCUGCUGCCGCCAUGUCGUGGAGACGCUGUGCUUCGUUGUGAAAGCGAAACUACUUUGUUUGGUCUUCCAAAAGAGGACACGACUAGAAGUCAGUGGUUAAGUUGUAUUUACAACACUGUUCCAGAAC